rnacentral:rRNA from 1 species
GACAGAGGGUGCAAACGUUGUUCGGAAUUACUGGGCGUAAAGCGAGUGUAGGCGGUUCGAUAAGUCGGAUGUGAAAGCCCCGGGCUCAACCCGGGAAGUGCACUCGAUACUGUCGAGCUAGAGUAUCGGAGAGGUUGGUGGAAUUCUCGGUGUAGAGGUGAAAUUCGUAGAUAUCGAGAGGAACACCGGUGGCGAAGGCGGCUCUCUGGCCCGCAACUGACGCUGAGGCGCGAAAGCGUGGGAGCAAACAGG